UAAAAAUUAGGCGAUUUUGUGCAGUUCCGAAUUGCGGGAAAAUUCGUAGCAAAAAAAGUUGUCACAGACUUCCUUUCAACGAUCCAGAAAGGCUAAAGUUGUGGCUGGAAUUUCUGGGGUUGGAUGUGAGCACACCUGUUGAGAAUCUGCAGAAAGCUGAUCACUGUGUCUCUGCAGUCGGCAUUUUACUGAACUUCGCUGGACGUCGAAAGAAAUCGCCCAAAUAGCUCUUUCGCCUGAGAAAUACAGCGGUUACCACAUUACCUCCUGGGACGACAGAGUUGGAAGAACUUGGGUGGGUCACUGUGGCUGUCCAGCUGGGGCGCUCCCUGGUGGCCCCUCAGUCAGGAUUCCCCUGGGUCCCUCCAUCCCCCAAAAGCCUUCUCCAGGUACAAGGCGGUGGCCAAUGUCAGGCGGUCCUGCAGUUUCCAGGAAAUCACCUGCACACCCAGCGGCAGCCCCUCUCUGCUCAGCCCAAGAGGACACUGGGUAAUCGGCAAACCAAGGACGUUGAAAAUGCCUGCAGCAGAGAGGUGGUGGAAAAGGAGACAUUUUAAGUGUCCUCAUUUUCAGUGUCAUGGCGGUGGUCACCCUAUGUGAGCGGGACGUCUUGGGAGUGUCUAUGCUCUACGUGAAGUGCUGAAACCUUGGACCAGCCCAUCAACAGCAGUCUGUUCAGUACUGCCUACAGACAGUUCUCUCCUGAUCCCUUCUCCAUUGAACUGCCCCCCUCAAACCCAUCCCAUUCAUCAGCACUCAAACAGGCUACAGGCUGUGGCGGCGGCGAAGGUCUGAAUUCCAGAACUGGUUUACUGUAAGGAUAGUCAUGGGUAAGGAUUUGAAAAAAUUCAAUGUCAUCAGUCAUUGUGGCUUUGUUGUUAUACUGCUGCACUUCCUGAUCUGUCUGGGUGCCCACACUGACAUGUUUUAUUGUUUGCUGCUGUUCCUCAACAAUGUCACACUCGGCAAUACUGUUGCUGUCUAACUGAUGCAUCAGAUACACAUGUGUCUGCCUGAACUAUGGAAAUAAAGAAUAUGUUUGUAGUACAAAGGAUUUUUUGCAUUUGUGUAUUUAAAUAUUUUGCAUACAUGUAUGUAAAUGGAAACUAAGGAUUAUACAAUGAAUAAACCAGAGUCACUGACAUUAUUCAACCCAUUUGGAUUGAUAGUGAUUAUCAAUAUUUCAAACUAAGAAAACUUAAUCUUGUGUUUCAUGUCCUCUU